rnacentral:rRNA from 1 species
UACGUAGGGGGCAAGCGUUGUCCGGAAUCAUUGGGCGUAAAGAGCGUGUAGGCGGUCCAGUAAGUCCGCUGUGAAAGUCAAGGGCUCAACCCUUGAAAGCCGGUGGAUACUGCUGGACUAGAGUCCGGAAGAGGCGAGUGGAAUUCCUGGUGUAGCGGUGAAAUGCGCAGAUAUCAGGAGGAACACCGGUGGCGAAGGCGGGUCUCUGGGCCGAUACUGACGCUGAGGAGCGAAAGCGUGGGGAGCGAACAGG